rnacentral:rRNA from 1 species
GACGAACGCUGGCGGCGUGCUUAACACAUGCAAGUCGAACGAACCUUCGGGUUAGUGGCGGACGGGUGAGUAACGCGUGGGAAUCUGCCCUCAGGAGGGGGAUAACGGCUGGAAACGGCCGCUAAUACCCCAUAUGCCGCGAGGUGAAAUGAAUUUCGCCUGAGGAUGAGCCCGCGUCUGAUUAGCUAGUUGGUGGGGUAAAGGCCUACCAAGGCGACGAUCAGUAGCUGGUCUGAGAGGAUGAUCAGCCACACUGGGACCGAGACACGGCCCAGACUCCUACGGGAGGCAGCAGUGGGGAAUUUUCCGCAAUGGGCGAAAGCCUGACGGAGCAACGCCGCGUGAGGGAUGAAGGCCUCUGGGCUGUAAACCUCUUUUCUCAAGGAAGAAGACCUGACGGUACUUGAGGAAUAAGCCACAGCUAAUUCCGUGCCAGCAGCCGCAGUAAUAC